AACGAACGCUGGCGGCAUGCCUAACACAUGCAAGUCGAACGAGACCUUCGGGUCUAGUGGCGCACGGGUGCGUAACGCGUGGGAACCUGCCUUUAGGUUCGGAAUAACUCAGAGAAAUUUGAGCUAAUACCGGAUGAUGUCUUCGGACCAAAGAUUUAUCGCCUUUAGAUGGGCCCGCGUAAGAUUAGCUAGUUGGUGGGGUAAAGGCCUACCAAGGCGACGAUCUUUAGCUGGUCUGAGAGGAUGAUCAGCCACACUGGGACUGAGACACGGCCCAGACUCCUACGGGAGGCAGCAGUGGGGAAUAUUGGACAAUGGGCGAAAGCCUGAUCCAGCAAUGCCGCGUGAGUGAUGAAGGCCUUAGGGUUGUAAAGCUCUUUUACCCGAGAUGAUAAUGACAGUAUCGGGAGAAUAAGCUCCGGCUAACUCCGUGCCAGCAGCCGCGGUAAAGUGACUACUG
rnacentral:rRNA from 1 species